rnacentral:rRNA from 1 species
UACAGAGGUCUCAAGCGUUGUUCGGAAUCACUGGGCGUAAAGGGUGCGUAGGUGGCGGGGUAAGUCAGAUGUGAAAGCCCGGGGCUCAACCUCGGAACUGCAUCCGAUACUACCUUGCUAGAGUACUGAAGAGGUGACUAGAAUUCUCGGUGUAGCAGUGAAAUGCGUAGAUAUCGAGAGGAAUACCAAAGGCGAAGGCAGGUCACUGGGCAGUUACUGACACUGAGGCACGAAGGCUAGGGGAGCAAACGGGG